rnacentral:rRNA from 1 species
CUUGGGGUUGUAGGACACUCUGUACGGAGUUACAAAGGAACGAGGUAGAUGAAGAGGUCUGGAAAGGCCCGCCAUAGGAGGUAACAGCCCUGUAGUCAAAACUUCGUUCUCUCCUGAGUGGAUCCUGAGUACGGCGGAACACGUGAAAUUCCGUCGGAAUCCGGGAGGACCAUCUCCCAAGGCUAAAUACUCCCUAGUGACCGAUAGUGAACCAGUACCGUGAGGGAAAGGUGAAAAGCACCCCGGAAGGGGAGUGAAAGAGAUCCUGAAACCGUGUGCCUACAAGUAGUCAGAGCCCGUUAACAGGUGAUGGCGUGCCUUUUGUAGAAUGAACCGGCGAGUUACGAUCCCGUGCAAGGUUAAGCAGAAGAUGCGGAGCCGCAGCGAAAGCG